AGCUCACUGGUCGAGUCGGCCUGCGCGGAAGAUGUAACGGGGCUAAACCAUGCACCGAAGCUGCGGCAGCGACGCUGAUGCGUUGUUGGGUAGGGGAGCGUUCUGUAAGCCUGCGAAGGUGGCCUGUGAGGGUUGCUGGAGGUAUCAGAAGUGCGAAUGCUGACAUAAGUAACGAUAAAGCGGGUGAAAAGCCCGCUCGCCGGAAGACCAAGGGUUCCUGUCCAACGUUAAUCGGGGCAGGGUGAGUCGACCCCUAAGGCGAGGCCGAAAGGCGUAGUCGAUGGGAAACGGGUUAAUAUUCCCGUACUUGGUGUUACUGCGAAGGGGGGACGGAGAAGGCUAUGUUGGCCGGGCGACGGUUGUCCCGGUUUAAGCGUGUAGGUGUGUGUUCCAGGUAAAUCCGGUUCACUUUAACACUGAGGCGUGAUGACGAGGCACUACGGUGCUGAAGCAACAAAUGCCCUGCUUCCAGGAAAAGCCUCUAAGCAUCAGGUAACAUCAAAUCGUACCCCAAACCGACACAGGUGGUCAGGUAGAGAAUACCAAGGCGCUUGAGAGAACUCGGGUGAAGGAACUAGGCAAAAUGGUGCCGUAACUUCGGGAGAAGGCACGCUGACACGUAGGUGAAGUGAUUUACUCAUGGAGCUGAAGUCAGUCGAAGAUACCAGCUGGCUGCAACUGUUUAUUAAAAACACAGCACUGUGCAAACACGAAAGUGGACGUAUACGGUGUGACGCCUGCCCGGUGCCGGAAGGUUAAUUGAUGGGGUCAGCGCAAGCGAAGCUCCUGAUCGAAGCCCCGGUAAACGGCGGCCGUAACUAUAACGGUCCUAAGGUAGCGAAAUUCCUUGUCGGGUAAGUUCCGACCUGCACGAAUGGCGUAAUGAUGGCCAGGCUGUCUCCACCCGAGACUCAGUGAAAUUGAACUCGCUGUGAAGAUGCAGUGUACCCGCGGCAAGACGGAAAGACCCCGUGAACCUUUACUAUAGCUUGACACUGAACAUUGAGCCUUGAUGUGUAGGAUAGGUGGGAGGCUUUGAAGUGUGGACGCCAGUCUGCAUGGAGCCGACCUUGAAAUACCACCCUUUAAUGUUUGAUGUUCUAACGUGGACCCGUGAUCCGGGUUGCGGACAGUGUCUGGUGGGUAGUUUGACUGGGGCGGUCUCCUCCUAAAGAGUAACGGAGGAGCACGAAGGUUGGCUAAUCCUGGUCGGACAUCAGGAGGUUAGUGCAAUGGCAUAAGCCAGCUUGACUGCGAGCGUGACGGCGCGAGCAGGUGCGAAAGCAGGUCAUAGUGAUCCGGUGGUUCUGAAUGGAAGGGCCAUCGCUCAACGGAUAAAAGGUACUCCGGGGAUAACAGGCUGAUACCGCCCAAGAGUUCAUAUCGACGGCGGUGUUUGGCACCUCGAUGUCGGCUCAUCACAUCCUGGGGCUGAAGUAGGUCCCAAGGGUAUGGCUGUUCGCCAUUUAAAGUGGUACGCGAGCUGGGUUUAGAACGUCGUGAGACAGUUCGGUCCCUAUCUGCCGUGGGCGCUGGAGAACUGAGGGGGGCUGCUCCUAGUACGAGAGGACCGGAGUGGACGCAUCACUGGUGUUCGGGUUGUCAUGCCAAUGGCACUGCCCGGUAGCUAAAUGCGGAAGAGAUAAGUGCUGAAAGCAUCUAAGCACGAAACUUGCCCCGAGAUGAGUUCUCCCUGAGACUUUAGGUCUCCUGAAGGAACGUUGAAGACGACGACGUUGAUAGGCCGGGUGUGUAAGCGCAGCGAUGCGUUGAGCUAACCGGUACUAAUGAACCGUGAGGCUUAACCUUACA
rnacentral:rRNA from 1 species